UACGUAGGGUGCGAGCGUUGUCCGGAAUUAUUGGGCGUAAAGGGCUCGUAGGCGGUUUGUCGCGUCGGGAGUGAAAUCCACUGGCUUAACUGGUGGCUUGCUUUCGAUACGGGCAGACUGGAGGUAUGCAGGGGAGAACGGAAUUCCUAGUGUAGCGGUGAAAUGCGCAGAUAUCAGGAGGAACACCGGUGGCGAAGGCGGUUCUCUGGGCAUGUCCUGACGCUGAGGAGCGAAAGUGUGGGGAGCGAACAGG
rnacentral:rRNA from 1 species